GGGAGGCUGAGGGUGGUGGUGAGGCUGGUGGGUGGGUGGGGAGGCUGAGGGUAGUGGUGAGGCUGGUGGGGGGGUGGGGAGGCUGGUGGGGGGUGAGCAGAACCUACCUUUAUUCCCUGGUGGUCCAGUGGACUCCCUGGUUGUCCGGUGGCCACUGCUUCUGGUCUGCAGCUACGCAGAGCUGCAGACCGUGUAAUCUCACAAGAUCAUCAGAGCGUUGCCGUGGUAACCCGCGGAAACGCUCUGAUUGGCCGGUUUUCGCGAGACACAUGGUCUGCGAUGGUGGCCAGGCAGCCAGGAGGGGCCUCGCACCCGGCGGCAUACCGGGCAAGCCGCCGGGACCCGUCCUGGUGUCAAGUCUGCCAUAAGGCGGUUUAGGCGGCCGCGAGCCCCCAGCCAGCACGAGGCCUUAGGCGGC